rnacentral:rRNA from 1 species
UGGGGAAUCUUGGACAAUGGGGGCAACCCUGAUCCAGCGACGCCGCGUGGGUGGUAAGGCCUUCGGGUUGUAAAGCCCUUUCACCGGGGAAGAUGAUGACAUUACCCGGAGAAGAAGCGCCGGCUAACUCCGUGCCAGCAGCCGCGGUAAGACGGAGGGCGCUAGCGUUGUUCGGAAUCACUGGGCGUAAAGGGCGCGUAGGCGGCUGUUUAAGUCGGGGGUGAAAGCCCGGGGCUCAACCUCGGAACGGCCUUCGAGACUGGGCAGCUGGAGACCGGAAGAGGAGGGUGGAAUACCCAGUGUAGAGGUGAAAUUCGUAGAUAUUGGGUGGAACACCAGUGGCGAAAGCGGCUCUCUGGUCCGGUUCUGACGCUGAGGCGCGAAAGCGUGGGGAGCAAACAGGAUUAGAUACCCCCGUAGUCC